UACGGAGGGUGCAAGCGUUGCUCGGAAUUACUGGGCGUAAAGGGCGUGUAGGCGGUUUCGUAUGUCUGGCGUGAAAGCCCCGGGCUCACCUCGGGAAGUGCGUCGGAAACUGCGAGACUAGAGUCCCGGAGAGGGAGGUGGAAUUCCUGGUGUAGCGGUGAAAUGCGCAGAUAUCAGGAGGAACACCGGUGGCGAAGGCGGUUCUCUGGGCAUUACCUGACGCUGAGGAGCGAAAGUGUGGGGAGCGAACAGG
rnacentral:rRNA from 1 species